GGAAUGGAAUGUAUUGGAAUGGAAUGUUUUUUAAUGGAAUGGAUUCGAGUGGAAUGGAAUCGAAUAUAAUGGAGUCGAAUGAAAUGGAAUUGAAAGGAAUGGGAUCGAAUAUAAUGGAAUAUAUUGGAAUGUAAUGUAAUGAAUUCGAAUGUAAUUGAUUGGAAUGGAAUGUAUAUGAAUGGAAUGUAAUUGAAUGGAAAGUAAUUUAAUGGAAUAGAAUUUAAUGUAAUAAAAUCGAUUUAGAUAGAGUAGAAUGUAAUGGAAUGGAGUGUAGU
rnacentral:misc_RNA from 1 species